AUUGAACGCUGGCGGCAGGCCUAACACAUGCAAGUCGAACGAGUGGCGGACGGGUGAGCAAUGUCUCGGAAACUGACUGGUGGAGGGGGACAACUACUGGAAACUGUAGCUACUACCGCAUAGCAUCGGAUGGGCCCGGGUGGGAUUAGCUAGUAGGUGGGGUAAAGGCUGACCUAGGCGACGAUCCCUAGCUGGUCUGAGAGGAUGACCAGCCACACUGGAACUGAGACACGGUCCAGACUCCUACGGGAGGCAGCAGUGGGGAAUAUUGCACAAUGGGCGCAAGCCUGAUGCAGCCAUGCCGCGUGUAUGAAGAAGGCCUUCGGAUUGUAAAGUACUUUCAGCGGGGAGGCGUUACCCGCAGAAGAAGCACCGGCUAACUCCGUGCCAGCAGCCGCGGUAAUUC
rnacentral:rRNA from 1 species